AAAUUGAAGAGUUUGAUCAUGGCUCAGAUUGAACGCUGGCGGCAGGCCUAACACAUGCAAGUCGAACGGUAACAGGAAGAAGCUUGCUUCUUUGCUGACGAGUGGCGGACGGGUGAGUAAUGUCUGGGAAACUGCCUGAUGGAGGGGGAUAACUACUGGAAACGGUAGCUAAUACCGCAUAACGUCGCAAGACCAAAGAGGGGGACCUUCGGGCCUCUUGCCAUCGGAUGUGCCCAGAUGGGAUUAGCUAGUAGGUGGGGUAACGGCUCACCUAGGCGACGAUCCCUAGCUGGUCUGAGAGGAUGACCAGCCACACUGGAACUGAGACACGGUCC
rnacentral:rRNA from 1 species